rnacentral:rRNA from 1 species
GACGAACGCUGGCGGCGUGCCUAAUACAUGCAAGUAGAACGCUGAAGAGAGGAGCUUGCUCUUCUUGGAUGAGUUGCGAACGGGUGAGUAACGCGUAGGUAACCUGCCUGGUAGCGGGGGAUAACUAUUGGAAACGAUAGCUAAUACCGCAUAAAAUUGAUUAUUGCACGAUAAUUAAUUGAAAGAUGCAACUGCAUCACUACCAGAUGGACCUGCGUUGUAUUAGCUAGUUGGUGAGGUAACGGCUCACCAAGGCGACGAUACAUAGCCGACCUGAGAGGGUGAUCGGCCACACUGGGACUGAGACACGGCCCAGACUCCUACGGGAGGCAGCAGUAGGGAAUCUUCGGCAAUGGGGGGAACCCUGACCGAGCAACGCCGCGUGAGUGAAGAAGGGUUUCGGAUCGUAAAGCUCUGUUGUAAGAGAAGAACGGGUGUGAGAGUGGAAAGUUCACACUGUGACGGUAUCUUACCAGAAAGGGACGGCUAACUACGUG